UUGUUCUUUAAAUGAGGACUCGUAUGAACGGCUUCACGAAUGCUAUACUGUCUCCUUUAUCCAAUCAGUUAAACUAAUCUCCCCGUGAAGAAGCGGGGAUUCACCUAUAAGACGAGAAGACCCUAUGGAGCUUUAAACACUCUUAAACAUUUGAACCCUUUAUUAUUUACCUCCAGAAAACUUCACUAAACCCCCUCAUUUUGUUUAAACUUUUAGGUUGGGGCGACCACGGAGAAAAACCUAACCUCCACGUGGAAAGAAACUUAAUUCUAAGCAAAAAGCCACAUCUUUAUGCAUCAAUAAUAUUGACCUAAAUUGACCCAAUUAUUUGAUAAACGAACCAAGUUACCCUAGGGAUAACAGCGCAAUCCGCUUUAAGAGCUCCUAUCGACAAGCGGGCUUACGACCUCGAUGUUGGAUCAGGACAUCCCAG
rnacentral:rRNA from 1 species